CAACUGUAAAAAGCUUGUGCUCCAAGUAAUGUUGCCACUUUUCCAGGGCCCAGAUAACUGCAAGACAUUCCUUCUCCGUUGCAGUAUAAUUUAGUUCGGCCCCAGUUAAGGUUCGGCUUGCAUAGGCUAUAACCUCCUCUCUGCCUACCUCCCUCCGUUGUGCUUAUAUGGCACCCAGGCCGAUGUCGCUGGCAUCGGUGUAAACAAUGAAUGGCCGCUGAAGAUCGGGAUGGCCCAGAAUGGGAGUGUGUUGAGGGGUUCAGUAAUCUUGGAAAAAUUUGGAACGAAACGGUGAUACCACCCGGCUAACCCGAGGAACCGUUGAACUUCCUUCACGUUCGUAGGCACAGGAUAGGUAUGAAUGGCUUCAGUUUUACAUGGGUCUGCUGAAAUGCCUUUGACACUUACAACAUGUCCUAGGAAGUUCUCCCAGAACUGUCUCCAUAAGCCUCUGAAAAGUUGCGGGAGCAUUUUUGAGACCAAACGGCAUAACAUUAAAUUGAUAGAGACCUGCAGGAGUGAUGAAGGCUGUCUUGGUUUUGCUGUUGGGAUCCAUGGUCACCUGCCAAUAUCCACUGUUUAGAUCAAUAGUAGAGAAGAUGGCUGCCCCAGAGAGGGAUUCCAGAAUUUCUGUGAUGUUGGGAAGAGGACCACCGGUGAUGCCCAAGCAGAGUGGGAUGGUUCAACUAUUCCUUGCCUCAACAUCUCAUCAAGUUGCUCCUCCAGGGCAAAUUGCUUGAGGGGAGACAAACGGUAUGGCCGUUGUUUAAUGGGGACUUGGCUGGUGGCAUAAAUGCUGUGUUGGAGAACCUCAGUACGUCCAGUACGGAGAGUACACACCUGAGGGCUUUCGUUCAGGAUUUGGAGUAAAUGUAGCUUUUCAUCAAAGGGUAAAUGAGCAGCGUCCACAGCAUUUUUUAUCAAUGUCUUUUCAUCGAUACCAUCUGGGUGUUGAAUUUGAAAUGGUGAUGAUGGAGGGGGCACAGAAGUUAAUAAGGAAAGGUUUUGUGUGGCUUCCUUAAAUUGACAUCUCUCUUUUUGGGGACUUGCAUUUGGCACACUUGGAUUUCCUGGUUGAAAGGGGUACUCUUUUGAAGGAUCCAGCUUGAAGGAGUAUUUUUGAUCAAUGACAUUGAGUUGCAGCCCACUGAAGAAAAAUAAAGUCCAACCCCAAGACUACAGCAUAAGCUAGAGCUUGGGAUGAAAGUACAGCAGUAGAUAAAGAGGACCACGGCACCACGGUUGCAGCUGGUCGGGGGAUGUUAGCUGCCUCAUGAGAUUCUCAUGGAUGAGUGUGUAGCUUGCACCAGUGUCCACAAUGGCUUUACCUGACCAGGCAUCGAUACAAAGGGGAACAACUAGUUGUUGAGCAACAGAGUUGUUGGACGGAUGACCACCUGACUUGGGGUGAGAAGGUUGUUUGCUGCUGGUGGAAUACUGUGGACCAGACGUCUGAGGUGACUGGGGAGAGGUAUAGUGUGGACAUUUUCCUGGUGGAUGCUGUCCUCUACAUCUCCAGCACUGAACUGGGAUUUUCUCAGUAGGGUGGUUUGAGUAGGGUCUUUGUGAUGGGGCUUGAUGCUUAGGGCCCAUUCGACCACAAUCAUAACGAAGCUGUUGCUCAUAAUCUCUUUCCAGUUGAUGUCCUAAUUUUACCAGCUCUUCCACAGUAUUUACUCGGCUACGCAAUUGGCUGGCAAGGUACGGCUUGAUAUUCUUAAGUAUCAUCUUCACAAUCUCACCCUCUGUAAAAUCCGCCUUCCAUCUUUUACAGAGAGCUCUGUAAGAAAACGCGAAGUCUCUAAUGGAUUCUGUGUCUCUUUGAAUCCUAGUACGGACACGUUCAGCCAGUUCGUCCUCAUAAUCCUCAGAAAGGAAAGCAGAUAUGAAUGCAGUCUCAAACUCAAUCCAAGUGGUUAUGCUGGACCGUCUGACUUCCCACCAGUCUCGUGCUGUUCCGUACAAGACAGUACGGAAGGUAGCCAGGAUGUCUGCAUCUGUCAGGGGAUGUACAGCCAAAAAAUCCUGACAUUUAGUUAGGUACAAUAGGGGGUCUGCAUCGUCUGAAGGCCUUCCAAAUGUGGGGAAGGUUAAUUUAAUAUGGUCACUUUUAACCACAGAUGUUAACAGAGGGGUUGAAGAAGUUGAAAGAGUCACUGGAGCAGAAGGAGAUGGCUGGGAUGAAAUACUGGUAGUGCUGGGACCUGGUGCUGUCAGUACACUUAAUUUUUGUUGAUCUGCACUUUUUUUAACACUUUGAAAUCCUUUCUCCACUUCACUUUUCAACUCUUUGAAACCGGUGAGACAUUGAUCAGUUUGAGUAACACAUUGUUGGAGUUGUGAAGUUAUCUUAUUAUGGCUUGUUUGGAAAGUAUUUUGAACAGCUUUGAUGUCCUGCUGAACCUCUGCUUGGAGUUGAUCAACCAUGAAUCGUAGUUCGGACACCAAGCAAGAUCAGCAAUCUGGCUCUGGUGCUGAGAAGAGGUAUCUUUCACUUCCUGGGUAAGUUCAUUCACUCUUCUUUCUUGUCUUGCCAUUAAGUCAAACAAGGUAUCCCAGUUCCCUUGUACCCGGGCAGUGACUGCUUGUAUUUCCCUUCCAGGAGUUGGUAGAAUGUUGGGCAGGUCAUGUUGUGCCACUGACGAAGGAGUUCCACCUUCAGAAGAGGUGCAAAGUUGCAUGUUAUCUACUUGUGUUGCCCAGGUGAGAGUUUGUACUGGAGUGCUCCCAGCCAGAGCAGGAGAGGACAUGUGCACACGGGUUCCAGGAUGAACAGAACUGAGUGGAGUGGGGGUAUGGUAGAACACCGGAGCAUAUGGAGGUUGUUCCAGAGGCAUCCCUGGUCGCAGUGCAGGCGGCCAUACUGGAGUUGAGAUGUCUGGUGGAGGCUCAAUUUCCACAAAAGUAGUUUGGGAAGGAGGGGUAUGCGCCAUGAUUGCUGUGAUUGAGUGUAAGAAUGUUGAGUGUGAAAAACAAUAAAUAUCAGUAAAUGAGAUGUGUAUCAGUGUGUUUGUCCCUGAAAUAUUUCUACUAAACAACAGAAUACAACUUUUCACAACUGUUCAAUCAGUAUUAUCUCACAACCACUAGGUAAAUCAAAACAAUAAGUAUUCAAAGUAAUUCACCUUCACUUAUUUCAAAUAUUCAAACAAUUAUCAAUUACUGUGACACCUUAGAGAUAACACCUCUAAUUGUUCAUUUAGCGUUCACAGUUUAUACAAAAAAAAACAAUUUUCACAAGCAUAAACAAUUUACAAGAUUAAUUCAGACAAUUUCAUUGUUUCACUAAUUUUC
ensembl:lncRNA